rnacentral:misc_RNA from 1 species
AAGUCGUAACAAGGUUUCCGUAGGUGAACCUGCGGAAGGAUCAUUAAAAAAAUGAGGUAUUUUAUACCUCUUGUAUUUAAAACCCAACUCUUUAAAAUAUUUUUUUUUAAAUAAAAAAAAAAUUUCAACAAUGGAUCUCUUGGCUCUC